rnacentral:rRNA from 1 species
UACGUAGGGGGCAAGCGUUGUCCGGAAUUAUUGGGCGUAAAGAGCGCGUAGGCGGCCCGGUAAGUCCGUUGUGAAAGUCAAAGGCUCAACCUUUGAACGCCGAUGGAUACUGCCGGGCUAGAGUCCGGAAGAGGCGAGUGGAAUUCCUGGUGUAGCGGUGGAAUGCGCAGAUAUCAGGAGGAACACCAAUAGCGAAGGCAGCUCGCUGGGACGGUACUGACGCUGAGGCGCGAAAGCGUGGGGAGCGAACAGG